rnacentral:piRNA from 1 species
UCUGAUGCACGGUUUCCAGAUACCAGU